UCGGGAAUUUUGGGCAAUGGGGGAAACCCUGACCCAGCAACGCCGCGUGAAGGAUGAAGUAUUUCGGUAUGUAAACUUCGAAAGAAUAGGAAGAAUAAAUGACGGUACUAUUUAUAAGGUCCGGCUAACUACGUGCCAGCAGCCGCGGUAAUACGUAGGGACCAAGCGUUGUUCGGAUUUACUGGGCGUAAAGGGCGCGUAGGCGGCAUGACAAGUCACUUGUGAAAUCUCUGGGCUUAACCCAGAACGGCCAAGUGAUACUGUCGCGCUAGAGUGCAGAAGGGGCAAUCGGAAUUCUUAGUGUAGCGGUGAAAUGCGUAGAUAUCAAGAGGAACACCUGAGGUGAAGACGGGUUGCUGGGCUGACACUGACGCUGAGGCGCGAAAGCCAGGGGAGCAAACGGGAUUAGGAUACCCCCGUAGUCCCUGAGCGGGCUGGCAAGGCGCAU
rnacentral:rRNA from 1 species